AACAGGAUUAGAUACCCUGGUAGUCCACGCUGUAAACGAUGAGUGCUAGGUAUCGGAAUAAUUCGGUGCCGCAGUUAACACAUUAAGCACUCCGCCUGGGGAGUACGUGCGCAAGCAUGAAACUCAAAGGAAUUGACGGGGACCCGCACAAGCAGCGGAGCAUGUGGUUUAAUUCGAAGCAACGCGAAGAACCUUACCAGGGCUUGACAUACUGAGGACCGGUAUAGAGAUAUACCCUCUUCUUCGGAAGCCUCAAUACAGGUGGUGCAUGGUUGUCGUCAGCUCGUGUCGUGAGAUGUUCAGUUAAGUCUGGCAACGAGCGCAACCCCUAUCUUUAGUUACCAGCAUUUCGGAUGGGGACUCUAAGGAGACUGCCGAUGAUAAAUCGGAGGAAGGUGGGGAUGACGUCAAAUCAUCAUGCCCUAUAUGCCCUGGGCUACACACGUGCUACAAUGGAAGAUACAAAGGGAAGCGAGAUAGUGAUAUUAAGCCAACCUCAAAAAGUCUUUCUCAGUUCGGAUUGUACUCUGCAACUCGAGUACAUGAAGUUGGAGUUGCUAGUAAUCGCAGAUCAGAAUGCUGCGGUGAAUGCGUUCCCGGGUCUUGUACACACCGCCCGUCACACCAUGGAAGCUUGUAAUACCCGAAGCCUGCGAGCAAACCUUAGGGAAGCAGCAGUCGAAGGUAGGUAGGUGACUGGGGUGAAGUCGUAACAAGGUAACC
rnacentral:rRNA from 1 species